rnacentral:lncRNA from 1 species
UCUUUCUCCUCCUCCUCCUCCUCCUCCUCCUGAUGAUUUUAGACAGAAAAAUUAUGUUUCAGUAGAAACUAUAAUUCACACUUGUGGAAAUUAGAUUCUAGUGCUGUUAAUUUUCCUUGAAGUUUUAUUUACCUAAAAACUGAACUGGAUCCUAAUUUCUUCUAGUUUCCUCCAAUAUCUAGCUACAACUCUCCAAACUAACAUUUCCGAUUUUUCUCCCACUUUUGACUUAGAAUCAUUGAGAACUAAAGCUUCCUUUUCCUGGAAGCCCUGUGAGCUGAAGCUGAACAAGUUGAUAUAAACUUAAGAGCGAUCACCACAAUAGCCUGUGUUUAGAGAAUCUCCAUGCCUGUUUCUGUGUAAGUCACUCAGAAAGUUUGCCUGAACACCCAAUAACAUCAUCAGAGACAUUUCAAACUGCAAAAGAUGCUUCAACCCUGACAUCUAGAAAUCUUGACUGACAUCCCCCUAGGUUCAGAAACUUAUUUACAAUUUGCUCCAACCAUUAACCACUGUUUUUAUUUGUUUCCAUAGAAAUGCCUCUUAUUAAAUACCUGAUUGCUGACAUUGUAGACCUAACUUUGAGAAUCUACCUGCAUCACCACCUCCUGAAAUGAGACACAAUUGUUUAACUUAACUGACUUAUUUUUAAGACUAAAAGAUUAAUUUAAUGACAUAAUGGAGCAGUCUGCCAGCUCAUAUUUUAAUAUGUGAAACUUCCAGGGAAGUUUCAGAGGGGGGAACUGUUGGAGCCCAGGAAAGGCUGCCCCAAAAUAUGUCACAACAACAUACUGAUUAUUUUAAACUAAAGUUACUUGUUCUGGCUUAAAUUUUUGACCCUCCUCUCUGUUCCCCCUGAAAGCAGGGAAUAAAUCUCCUGUGUGAAAUGUACCCUCCCCACACCAAGAGAUAGAGACAUCCUUAUCACCAAAGUUAGGGAAUUCAGGAUUGAGAAGCCUGUAUAAACAAACAUUGUUACUUUUACUAAUUUACUACCUCAAGCCUAAACUCUGCUCAAAUUCCUCACUAAUUACAUACCCUAAACCUAAGUUUUUUUAUUCUGUCAUUUCCUCACAAAUUUAUUGUUUCUUUGUAUAAAAAGAUAUAUAGAAACUGCCUGCUUUGUUCACUUGGAGGGCAUCAUUUCUCUAUGAUCUCCUGUGUGUACAUAGUAAAUUGGUUUUUCUCCUGUUAAUCUGGUCUUACGUCAACUUUAUUAUUAGUCCAGCCAUAAGAACUCAAGAGGGGUAAAGGAGAGAGAUCUCCCUCCCUGACAGAUGUUAACUAAACUUCUUGUGGUAAUUAGUUUGUAAUAUAUAUGUAUAUCAAAUCAUUAUGUUGUACACCUGAAGCUAAUACAAUGUUAUAGGUGAAUUAUAUUGCAAAGAAAUUUUUUAACAGUAAAACAGACUGAGAUGGUGAGAUCUAAUAUUUUUUAUUGGCAAGUGCAAAUUUAGUUCAUACAUGAAAUAUGUUACUAAAUUUGACUAAUAUUUAAAUUGAAAUGUAUUCUUUCUUUAAGGUGUGUUUGAAACUAUAGACUGAAUCCAGAAAAUAAUGAUUACUACUGGAUAUUACCAGAUUGUUACUAAAAGUAAUUUUGUUGUAUUGCAGAGUGGGGCAUUGUUAAAAAUGAUCCAUUCCAGGUGUUAAUUAUGUAAGGUUCAUCUUGGUCUUAAAUCUCAAAUAAUUUGCUUUCUAUCUCCGUUUCUGGGAGGCAUCCAGUUGCCGACAGUCACUCAAGAAAGGAAGGAAGGCUCUCUUUAUUACCAAACUGGAUCCUGCUUUAGAGAAGCUGGGAGAGUAGUGCUGGGCUGGGAAAAGCUUCUCAGAGGUGGAGAAAAUGCGAUCGGCAGUUCCAGCAGAGCAUGUGGGCUCUCUCCCGCUUCCUCCAGCACUGGGGCCAGAGGAGACCAUGCUCCAGUUUCCUAAUCCUCUCCAAGGCCAAGCUCAUCUUGCUUCUGAACCUUCCCUUCAUUUAAGGAGGCCCUGUUUGGGAAGAUCUUAGAGCACCUAACAAAUAGCAACUUUGGUCUGUGAGCUAGAGAGGCGUUCCAUUUGUGCAUCCAAGACAGAAGAGCAGGGUCAGGGAGGGACUACCCAUUGAAAGUCCCCGGUGAGUGUGUUCUGGCUACAACCUCACCCAUGAUAUAUGCAUCUGGUUAAAUCUAGGCAUAUGCUUCAAGAGUGGUAUAAUUUCAUCCCUCCUCUCUGCCAUGGAAUUUGGUCAGUUUUUACCCUUUGAAAGAAACUGACAAUGUUUCUGUCCCUUCUUGUUCACAUUGUUGCAAUGUUUCUGUUCCUGUGGUUUGUAGUGGAAGCAAAGUUCCCACCCCCAAAUUGGAAGGCCUCUGGAAAAGCAACAACAUCCCUUCGUUACUAGCAGUAUAGCCAACAGUUACUAGCAGUAUAGCCAACUCCAUUCCCCAAUAGCCUCCAAGCUAGUAACAACUAUUACCGUUUACUAAGGAUAGAACUGCAUGUCAAACAGUUGUAUCUGCUUCAUUUCUAAUUCUUGCAGUAACUUCAACUUAUAGGCGAAGAAACUAAAGCCCAGAGAAGUCAAGCAAAGUUGCUCAACCUCACCCAGCUAAUGAUAUGAACGGCAAGCCCACAUGUAGGGCUGAUGGAGUGCUGGGCACUCCUCCAGGCAUAGUAUAGAAAUGAGCUCAUUAUUCCUCCCUUACGUCUUUUUUUCAAAGUUUUUGUAAAUUAUUUUUGAUUGUUGCAAAAUCCAUAUAACAUAGAAUUUACCUUCUGAACCAUUUUUAAAUGUACAUCUCCAUGGCAUUAAUUGCAUGCACAUUGUCGCGCUAGCCUCACCACCAUCCAUCUCAGGAAUUAUUUUCAUCUUAUAAAAGUGAAACUCUGUACCCAUUAAAUAAUAGCUCCGCAUUCUCUCCUCCCCUCUUCCCCCAAAUAUUUUAAGGCAGAUACUAUUAUUAUCCAACCCCACCCUACAGAUGAGGAAACUGAGACCCAGAGAGAUUCAGUAACUUUCCCAGAUCACAGCUAGUAUGUGGCAGAGCUGUAAUUCACAGCUAGACAAUCAGGCUCCGGAAGUCCAGUGCUUAGCCACUCUAGGGCCCCAGGGACAUCUAACAGUGUUAUGCUAUACUGUCUUUCUGCUAUUAACCUAUCCAGAAGACCAAGAAACGGGGGCCUAGAAAGUUGAAACAAAUUGCAGAUAAAUCCUUGUAAAGGCAGAAGAGGGAUUUGCAUUCAGACCCCGUGGAUCUCAAGCUGCUUAGCCUGUGGCUUCCUGCAGGAUGAUUAGAUUAGAGCAGCGACCAUAUGCCCCUUGAGUCCUGCUCUCUGCUUCCAUCCAUACCCCAAAGCAGCUCAGGUCCUCCCCCCUCAGUCCUGUGUGAAGUCAUGGGCUCCAGCUUGCUUGUGAUGAAGGAAGUGAACUGCAGGUUCUGGCCAGUGAGUAGUAGGCUGGGCCCCAACUGGGACAUCCUGACUUGACCCUUCUGUACCCUGAGGGGAUGCUGUCUGUGCUAGAAUAGCCUGUGCUCUCCAUAGCUGCUGAGGAAGCCCCUCUUCACCUUUCCAGGCCAGAACUUACCUCUCUCACACCUCUGUCACCUAUCUAACACUGAAUGGAAGACCAGCUGGACCCUUACCUAGCACCUGCAUUCAAGUGGGUGGCGUCAAGGAGGUAGCACUGUCCUGCACACACGUUUCACAUCCUCAUCCUUAUUUACUUCUUCUAGCUUUUUCUUCCUGUUUCCAGCCCUUAAAAUGACCAGCCCUGAGGAAGAGCAGCUUCACUAUGACAGUUGAUAGGAGGUUUUUCCAGUUGAUCAAUGUCAGCUUGGCACCCUUCCUGGGUAAGGUAGAACCUUAGAGCUCUAAUUCGUCAGCACAUUCUAUGAGCUUUCCCCAGAAUAAAUGCCACCACUAACCUCUGCUCACCCCUCCACGAACAACACCCUAGUCCAAGCCCCAUGUUCCUCGCCUGGCGAGCACUCAGACCCCUCUCAACCCUGACACCUCCCAGGCACAAGUGGCCAGAGUCAGCCUUUAAAAAGUCAGUCAGAGCCUCUAAGAUCAGGAACAAGACAAGGACGCUCACUUUCACCACUUAUAUUCAGCAUAGUACUGGAGUUCUAGCUGGAGCAAUUAGGCAAUAAAUAAAUAAAUAGAUAGCAUCCAAGUGGGAAAGGAAGAAGUAAAAUUAUCUCUGUUCACAGGCGACAUGAACUUGUAUGUAGAAAACCCUAAAGAUUCCACAAAAAUCUGUUAGACCUAAUAUACUCAUUUAGCAAAGUUGAAUCAACACACAAAAAUCAGUUGUAUUUCUAUACACUAACAAUGAACAAUCUGAAAAGGAAAUUAAUAUAACAAUGCUACUUACAAUAGCAUCAAAAAGAAUAAAAUACUUCAGGAAUAAACUUAACUAAGGAAGUGAAAGACUUGUACACUGAAAACUAUAAAACAUUGCUGAAAGAAAUUAAAGAAGACACAAAUAAAUGAAAAUACACCCUGGUCAUGGAUUGGAAGACUUAAGAUUGCUAAAAUGUCCACGCCACCCAAAGCGAUCUACAGAUGCAGUGCAAUCCCUACCAAAAUACCAACAAGGUUUUUUCAGAAAGAGAAAAACCCACCCUAAAAUUCAUAUGGAAUUUCAAGAACAAAGCUGGAGGACUUAUACUUCCUGAUUUCAAAACUUACUACAAAGCCACAGUAAUCAAAACAGUGUGGUGCUAGUACAAAGAGAGACACGUGGACCAGUAGAAUAGAAUAGAGAGCCUAGAAAUAAACGCUUGCAUAAAUGGUCAAAUGAUUUUUGACAAAAGUGCCAAGACCACUCAAUGGGGAUAAAUCAGUCUUUUCAGCAAAUGAUUGUUGGGAAAACUGAAUAUUGACAUGCAAAUCAUGAAGUUGGACGCUUACCUUUCACCAUACACAAAAUCAAAAGUUAAUUCAAAAUGAGUCAAAGACCUACACACAAGAACUAAAACAGUAAAAUUCUUAGAAGAAAACAUUGAGGGAAAGCUUCACGGUGAGAUUUAUCAGUGAUUUCUUGGAUAUCAUAAGAAACGCAUAGGCAAGAAAAGAAAAAAAUAGAUAAAUCAGCUACAUCAAAAUCUAAACCUUCUGUGUAUCAAAGUACACAACUACUAGAGUGAAAAGUGAACCCAUGAAUGGGAGAAAGUAUUUGAAAAUCAGAUAUCUGAUGAGGGGUUAAUAUCUAGAAUAUAUAAAGAACUCCUACAACUCAAUAACAACAAAACAAAUGAUGCAAUUAAAAAAUGAGCAAAGAACUUGAGUAGACAUUUCUCCAAAGAAGACGAACAAACGACUAACAAACACAUGAAAAGAUGCUCAACGUCACUAAUCAUUAGGGAAAUGCAAAUCCAAACCACAACUAUUAGGAUGGCUAUUAUUAAAAAAAAAAACAACCCAGAAAAUUUGUCAAUAAGGAUGUGGAGAAAUUAGAACCCUUGUGCAUUGCUGGUGUGAAUAUACAAUGGUGCAGCCUCUGUGGAAAACUGUAUGGUGGUUCCUCAAAUAGUUAAAUAUGGAAUUCCCACAUGAUCUAGCAAUUCUACUUCAGGGUAUAUAUUCAAAAGAAUCGAAAGCAGAACUCAGAGAUAUUUGUACACCCAUGUUUAUAGCAGCAUUAUUCACCAUAGCCAAAUGGUGGAGACAACCCAAAUGUCCAUUAAUAGAUGAAUGGAUAAAAUAAAAUGUGGUAUAAUCCGUAAAAUGGAAUAUUAUUCAGCCUUAAAAAGGAAAGAAAUUCUGACACAUAUGACAACAUGGAUGGACCUUGAGAACAAUAUGCUAAGUGAAAUAAACUAGUCACAAAAGGAUAAAUACUGUAGAUUCCACUUAUAUGAGUUACCUAGAGUAGUCAUAUUCGUAGAAACAGAAAGCAGAAUGGUGAUUGCCAUGACCUGAGGGGAGGAGGGAAUGGGGAGUUGCUUAGUAGAUACAGAGUUCCAGUUUUUCAAUAUGUAGAGAGUUCUGGAGAUGGAUGGUGGUGAUGGUACACAACAAUGUGAAUAUACUGAACCAUAUACUUAAAAAUUAUUAAGAUGGGAACUUUAUGUUAUAUGUAUUUUACAACAAAAAAGAAAAGUCAAUCAGACCAUUUUGCAUGACGUCUCUGAGUCCCUCGUGGUUUUCCACCUCACUCAGAAUAAAAUCCAAACUCUGUCCCUGAGCUGAGAGGGCCCCAGGUUCAGCCACACAGGCUCUGCUUUCCCUGAACGUGCCCAGUACAUCCCGUCUUGGGGCCCUUGCUCUUCCUCUUUGUUCCAUCUUCAUGGCAGGCUCUUUUCCCAGAUAAUUGCAUGGCCCAUUCCUUUAUUUCAUUCAGGACUCCACAUAAACAUCACUUCCUUUGACCAUUAUAUUUAACAUAGCACAUCCCUCAAACCCCGUAUCAUACUUUAUUUUCUUCACAACUUUCUUCAGUAUCUGGCAUUAUCUUAACCAUUCAUUAAUGUCUUUAUUGUCUGUCUCCAUCACUAAAAUGAGAACUCCACAAGGCUAGAGACUUUGCCUUGCUCAUUUCUGUGUCCCCGCUGCCUAGAACAGUGCUGGCCCACAGUAGAUGUUCAGUAAAGAUGAGUCAAAGGGACUAAUGAAGGAAGAAUACUGCACAACAGACAUGUUGGUGAAAUUGGUGGAGGAGGUAGAACUGGGAGCUACCAAACGGUGGAAUCAGGAUCCCAAAAGACCUCGAGAGCCACGCCUGAAGCUAAUAUUACAAGCAUUACGAUUUUACAUCAAGUUGGGAAGUACCCAAAAGCUGAAUCCGAGUCCGUACAGAUUUUUCCAGAAGCCAGAGGACACCCCAGGGUGAGGAUCAUCUCCACCCGCUCUGUCUCAGGCACAGAAGGAAAAUGACGUGUCUCCGCGGGGUGCGAAGAGCAAGCUGCGCCGCUGGGAGCCCGCGGUCCCCUGCUCCAUCAGCCGGGCGCCUCUGGGUCAGUCAUUGUGGUGAAGCUGGGACCCGGCUUCCAGUGGGGCUACACUGCAUGGCCCCAGGCUAAUUCGGUACAGGUGCUGUGCCGCUGCGUUGGGGCCCCCUCCCUGCAGGCUCUGACGGGCCACCACCUCGUCCUCCCCAGGGCUUCUCCCAUGCCUUGGCGGAAUGGCUUUGUGCCCCAACAAUGUGUAAAUGCCGAUGCUAUUUAACCCUUUGAAACUCUAAUUUUAUAAACAUAAUUCAUCUUAUCAAUCAUGCUAUUAUACAAUGUUUAUAAUAGAUCUAUUUUCUCUAUCUUCAUUGAGCAUCAUAAAGAUAUGUACGUUUCUA